rnacentral:rRNA from 1 species
GGGUUGUGAGGUUAAGCGACUAAGCGUACACGGUGGAUGCCUAGGCAGUCAGAGGCGAUGAAGGGCGUGCUAAUCUGCGAUAAGCGUCGGUAAGCUGAUAUGAAGCGUUAUACCCGACGAUACCCGAAUGGGGAAACCCAGUGUGUUUCGACACACUAUCAUUACGUGAAUACAUAGCGUAAUGAGGCGAACCGGGGGAACUGAAACAUCUCAGUACCCCGAGGAAAAGAAAUCAACCGAGAUUCCCCUAGUAGCGGCGAGCGAACGGGGAGGAGCCCAGAACCUGAAUCAGUUUGUGUGUUAGUGGAAGCGUCUGGAAAGUCGCACAGUAAAGGGUGAUAGUCCCGUACACAAAAAUGCACAGAUUGUGAGUUCGAUGAGUAGGGCGGGACACGUGACAUCCUGUCUGAAUAUGGGGGGACCAUCCUCCAAGGCUAAAUACUCCUGACUGACCGAUAGUGAACCAGUACCGUGAGGGAAAGGCGAAAAGAACCCCGGCGAGGGGAGUGAAAUAGAACCUGAAACCGUGUACGUACAAGCAGUGGGAGCCUUGAUUAAUCAGGGUGACUGCGUACCUUUUGUAUAAUGGGUCAGCGACUUAUAUUCUGUAGCAAGGUUAACCGUAUAGGGGAGCCGUAGGGAAACCGAGUCUUAACUGGGCGUUAAGUUGCAGGGUAUAGACCCGAAACCCGGUGAUCUAGCCAUGGGCAGGUUGAAGGUUGGGUAACACUAACUGGAGGACCGAACCGACUAAUGUUGAAAAAUUAGCGGAUGACUUGUGGCUGGGGGUGAAAGGCCAAUCAAACCGGGAGAUAGCUGGUUCUCCCCGAAAGCUAUUUAGGUAGCGCCUCGUGAAUUCAUCUUCGGGGGUAGAGCACUGUUUCGGCUAGGGGGUCAUCCCGACUUACCAACCCGAUGCAAACUACGAAUACCGAAGAAUGUUAUCACGGGAGACACACGGCGGGUGCUAACGUUCGUCGUGAAGAGGGAAACAACCCAGACCGCCAGCUAAGGUCCCAAAGUCAUGGUUAAGUGGGAAACGAUGUGGGAAGGCACAGACAGCCAGGAUGUUGGCUUAGAAGCAGCCAUCAUUUAAAGAAAGCGUAAUAGCUCACUGGUCGAGUCGGCCUGCGCGGAAGAUGUAACGGGGCUAAACCAUGCACCGAAGCUGCGGCAGCGACACUUAGGUGUUGUUGGGUAGGGGAGCGUUCUGUAAGCCGUCGAAGGUGGCCUGUGAGGGCUGCUGGAGGUAUCAGAAGUGCGAAUGCUGACAUAAGUAACGAUAAUGCGGGUGAAAAACCCGCACGCCGGAAGACCAAGGGUUCCUGUCCAACGUUAAUCGGGGCAGGGUGAGUCGACCCCUAAGGCGAGGCUGAAAAGCGUAGUCGAUGGGAAACAGGUUAAUAUUCCUGUACUCGGUGUUACUGCGAAGGGGGGACGGAGAAAGCUAGGUUAUCCGGGCGACGGUUGUCCCGGUUUAAGCGUGAAGGUGGAUGACUUUGGUAAAUCCGGGUCGUCAUUAACACUGAGGCGUGAUGACGAGUCACUACGGUGAUGAAGUAACCGAUGCUACGCUUCCAGGAAAAGCCUCUAAGCUCCAGGUAACAUCAAAUCGUACCCCAAACCGACACAGGUGGUCAGGUAGAGAAUACUCAGGCGCUUGAGAGAACUCGGGUGAAGGAACUAGGCAAAAUGGUGCCGUAACUUCGGGAGAAGGCACGCUGAUGGUAGGUGAAGUGACUUGCUCACGGAGCUGAAAUCAGUCGAAGAUACCAGCUGGCUGCAACUGUUUAAUAAAAACACAGCACUGUGCAAACACGAAAGUGGACGUAUACGGUGUGACGCCUGCCCGGUGCCGGAAGGUUAAUUGAUGGGGUCAGCCGCAAGGCGAAGCUCUUGAUCGAAGCCCCGGUAAACGGCGGCCGUAACUAUAACGGUCCUAAGGUAGCGAAAUUCCUUGUCGGGUAAGUUCCGACCUGCACGAAUGGCGUAAUGAUGGCCAGGCUGUCUCCACCCGAGACUCAGUGAAAUUGAACUCGCUGUGAAGAUGCAGUGUACCCGCGGCAAGACGGAAAGACCCCGUGAACCUUUACUAUAGCUUGACACUGAACCUUGAGCCUUGAUGUGUAGGAUAGGUGGGAGGCUUUGAAGCGAGGACGCCAGUUCUUGUGGAGCCAACCUUGAAAUACCACCCUUUAAUGUUUGAUGUUCUAACGUGGGCCCGUAAUCCGGGUUGCGGACAGUGUCUGGUGGGUAGUUUGACUGGGGCGGUCUCCUCCCAAAGCGUAACGGAGGAGCACGAAGGUUAGCUAAUCCUGGUCGGACAUCAGGAGGUUAGUGCAAAGGCAUAAGCUAGCUUGACUGCGAGAGUGACAGCUCGAGCAGGUGCGAAAGCAGGUCUUAGUGAUCCGGUGGUUCUGAAUGGAAGGGCCAUCGCUCAACGGAUAAAAGGUACUCCGGGGAUAACAGGCUGAUACCGCCCAAGAGUUCAUAUCGACGGCGGUGUUUGGCACCUCGAUGUCGGCUCAUCACAUCCUGGGGCUGAAGUAGGUCCCAAGGGUAUGGCUGUUCGCCAUUUAAAGUGGUACGCGAGCUGGGUUUAGAACGUCGUGAGACAGUUCGGUCCCUAUCUGCCGUGGGCGUUGGAAGAUUGAGAGGGGUUGCUCCUAGUACGAGAGGACCGGAGUGAACGCACCACUGGUGUUCGGGUUGUGAUGCCAAUUGCAUUGCCCGGUAGCUAAGUGCGGAAGAGAUAACCGCUGAAAGCAUCUAAGCGGGAAACUUGCCUCGAGAUGAGUCUUCCCUGGGCACUAGAUGCCCCUGAAGGGCCGUUGAAGACGACGACGUAGAUAGGCUGGGUGUGUAAGCGUAGCGAUACGUUGAGCUAACCAGUACUAAUGACCCGAGAGGCUUAACCUUACAACACCGAAGGUGUUU